rnacentral:lncRNA from 1 species
UCUAAACUUUCUUCCCCCUCCUCACAGAGGGAUCAUAAUCAGUUUUACAGGAACAGUUUCACAUUUGUCUGAAGCUGGCUCCCUCAUGUUUCCCUUCCCUUCCCUUCCCUUCCCUUCCCUUCCCUUCCCUCCCCUCCCCUCCCCUCCCCUCCCCUCCCCUCCCCUCCCCUCCCCUUCCCUUCCCUCUUCUUUCCUUUUCUCUUCUUCUUUUUCCUUCUCUUGGGAAACUUUAGAGAUUAAAUAAUUUUAAAGAAGCAUUCAGUUGUUAUGUGCUCAGCCCAAGAAUAGUCCAGACAAGCAGUCAAAAGUAUCUAAAAAAAAAAAAAGAAAGAAAGAAAGAAAAGAAAAGGUUAUUAAACUAUGUUUCUUCUUAUUGGCACUAAAAAGUAUAUCUACACAAUAGGCUGCAUAACGCUAUGAGGUGAGAAGAAAAGCCUUUAAUUUUAGGACGAAAGAAUAAUUUUUGUCAUGAUUGAGAGUCUUUAAAAAUUAGUUUACCAUAUAAAAAUGUCAGCCCAACAGUUUUGUUUGUUCAAGACCAGGGUUAAAUUUCUUAUGAUUCAAACUUCUUAAAUUUUUUAAUUUGGUUUUAUGAAUUAAGUAAAUUACCACUGUUUCCACAACUUGCUUUAAGUAAAAAGUUACAUGUAUAAAAUUGUAUUCAACUAAAUGGAAUGAAAUGACUGUUCAAAAGGUUUAAUUUUGUGAAAUUCUUUUUUUUUUUCGUUUUUAUUUUAUUUUAUUUUUGGGACAGAGAGAGACAGAGCAUGAACGGGGGAGGGGCAGAGAGAGAGGGAGACACAGAAUCGGAAACAGGCUCCAGGCUCCGAGCCAUCAGCCCAGAGCCUGACGCGGGGCUCGAACUCACGGACCGCGAGAUCGUGACCUGGCUGAAGUCGGACGCUUAACCGACUGCGCCACCCAGGCGCCCCAUAAUUUUGUGAAAUUCUUACAAUGCUACAAUGAUAGGCAUUUAAUGUGUUAGCUAUGUUAUCAUUUCCAGAUUUUUAACUAACUUCAAAACCUUAGGCAAAUCAUUAAUUUAAUUAAUAAAUAAUCUUUGGAUGUACA